rnacentral:rRNA from 1 species
UACAGAGGGUGCGAGCGUUGUCCGGAAUCACUGGGCGUAAAGGGCGCGUAGGCGGCCCGGCAAGUCAAUGGUGAAAGCUCAGGCUCAACAUCUGAGUCGGCCGACUGAUACUGGCGGGGCUCGAGUCUGGUAGAGGCAGAUGGAAUUCCGGGUGUAGCGGUGGAAUGCGUAGAGAUCCGGAAGAACACCGGUGGCGAAGGCGGGUCUGCUGGGCCAGUACUGACGCUGGAGGCGCGACAGCGUGGGGAGCAAACAGG